rnacentral:rRNA from 1 species
GUGUCAGCAGCCGCGGUAAGACGUAGGGGGCGAGCGUUGUCCGGAUUUAUUGGGCGUAAAGCGCGCGCAGGCGGCUCGGAAAGUCGGGUGUGAAAACCCGGGGCUCAACCCCGGACCUGCAUCCGAUACUCCCGGGCUAGAGGCAGGUAGGGGAGAGUGGAAUUCCUGGUGUAGCGGUGAAAUGCGCAGAUAUCAGGAGGAACACCGGUGGCGAAGGCGGCUCUCUGGACCUGUCCUGACGCUCAGGCGCGAAAGCUAGGGGAGCGAACAGGAUUAGAUACCCUGGUAGUCC